rnacentral:piRNA from 1 species
AGAACACUUUGCUGCUGCCU